UACGUAGGGUGCAAGCGUUGUCCGGAAUUAUUGGGCGUAAAGAGCUCGUAGGCGGUUUGUCGCGUCGGCUGUGAAAGCCCGGAGCUCAACUCCGGGUCUGCAGUCGAUACGGGCAGACUUGAGUGUUGCAGGGGAGACUGGAAUUCCUGGUGUAGCGGUGAAAUGCGCAGAUAUCAGGAGGAACACCGGUGGCGAAGGCGGGUCUCUGGGCAACAACUGACGCUGAGGAGCGAAAGCAUGGGGAGCGAACAGG
rnacentral:rRNA from 1 species